rnacentral:lncRNA from 1 species
GGAUUGAUUGGCUUUGAGCUCACGGUAGAAGCGCCGCUAAUUUUCCUUCCUGUUUCAUUAUCGACUGAAGGGAUGUUUAUUACUGAUCCCCAGGAAAGCAUAAAGCACAAGGUGAGUAACACUGCUGUUCAGAAAAGCCAGAUGGGGUUGUUCAGCGAGCCAAGGCAAAGCAAAGAAGAAAAACAAGCCAAGGCACUCAAUCUCAUGCAUUUCAGUUUCAAGCCUUCCCUACGCAAACUCCAAGGCAUACCCACCCGUCUCAAACACCAGUGUCCAUCUCAGGGCUGGGCUGAUGACUGGACAUGGUUCUUCUAAUUGACACAGGGAUGAGCACAAGGCAAGGAGUGGAGCUUGUCUCUGGGACAAAACCUUCAUGUAUGUCCAGGACCACAGUUGGAUUCCAUUGGACAACAGCAAAGUGGGAUGUGACAGCAGGUCCUCACUCACCCCUGCACAGCUCCUGGGGCAAUACGGGGUCAGCAGGUCCAUAUUGUCACAGUUUGCCACUGGUGAUAAUGCCUUCAAGCUCUGCUACAAGGCAUGACUUCCAUGCAUUUGGCUUCUCACUAUGCCUUCUCUCUACAGGAUGAGAAAAGCUUCUCAGAUUCUGCUAUUCUCAGCUUUGCAGAUGCUCAUCCACUGUAUGCAAGUCACCUCUUUGUCUUCAGAGACAACUAAAUUGUCUAAAUGACAAUGCCUGGAACCAAAGCACUUCUGUUCACAACACUGCUUAUGGAGCCAUCACUCUCUGAACCUGAUGAGCUCUCCCAGGGGGAAGUGUGCAACAACAGCUUUGUUAUGUGCUGGGUCUGUACCUUAACCCACAGCCCCGAGCUUGUGGUCUUCUUGGUGUCUGGGAGGUGAUUCAGCUCAGGCAGAGCUGGCCUGAACUGGGACAGAAGGACUCUGGGCAAUUUACUUUGCUUACCUGCUAGUAAAGUCAAGCAAAACACAGUAUUUUCUGAACUUGUAGCAUUUUCUUGUUGUCAGUAGUUGUUACUGUAUUAAGUGUGUGACCAUGACAUAGGAACUUGUGUCAGACCAUCAUUGCAAUGAGUAAUUCUGCUUUUCUUGGUGUCUGCAGACAGCUCCACUAUCUGGCAGCAUGGAUUUCAUAGAGACCCCUAUUUUUCAGGGCAAUUCCUGGUGGGUGGCUGCCAGAGCUCUGCAUGGGAUGGAUUCAUCUUGCCCACGCUGGCAUCCCUAAAUACAACCAGGUGUCCCCAGGCUCUCUGCAGGUGGGGCAGGUCCAGUUAGUGGGGUACACUCAUUCCUCAGGUUUUUAUCUCCAAUCCAAAGAGUGUCAGAGAAAUCUCUCCCAGCACAAAAGCACUACAGACCCACUGUGAUGGGAAGAGGGGACACUGCACUGAAACUUUGAGGAUCAGAGGCAAGCUAUUUGCUCAAAUCACCUUCCUUUAUCUGCAGGGAGAGCUUCAUGCAAUGCUUUAACUCACCAUGAUGAUCCAAGGACUGCUGUGCACGGCACAGAGCCAGCUGUCAGGGUCAGGAAGCACCAAUAAAUCAAAGCCGUGCACUGGAGGAGAGCCCAUCACCACCCAUCCACCACACACCCUCAGUUAAUCUGCCACAGGUAGUGAGUACUUCUCAGUCCCAGUGAGGGGCAGGUCGGUUGUGAAUGGGAUGUUCCCAGCUCGCAGACACAGGGUGGCACAGCUGCU